rnacentral:lncRNA from 1 species
CAGCUGAGGACAGACGUGCAGCAUGAGAGAAGCAUGUGCUAUUACCAAAAGAAGGGUAGUUGGCAUUAGACAGAAAGCACUGCAGUAGGAAAGUCAGAGUUCCUCUCUAGGCAUCAGUGCAUGAUCUCUGAAGCUCAGGUGUGCACAGACUUCCUCUUGUGAAGACAGCCUAAGAAAAGUGGGUCUUCUGAAUGUCCAACCUAAGCAGCCAACAGAGAAAGAGAAGAAAAAUGAGCCAUGGAAUCAAUGAAAUGUUUCCUUCCUCCCUUCUCCCAGCAGCCUGGUGAACUCCUUCCUGCUUGUGCUUCAGGAUCUAGGGAAGAAUCAUGCUCCACCUGACGCUGGCUGUCCUCGAGCCUUCCGACUCCUUCAUCUGCUUGGUUCUCUACUGCCCUAGAAUCUACUUCUGCCUGCUGGCUCACACUGUGAGGCCCCAUACGAGGUCCGUCAUGAAAUGCCACUUCCUCUACUAAGGAAGAUGCACAGUCCUGGGCAAUUUGAGGCUCCAUGUGUAUAAUUCUAGAAAUGGAGUCUUGGAAUAAAUAGUUCCCUUCAACCGUGUACCAACAGACUCUCUUUCCUUUUAAUUUUCCCUUCUGGCUUCUUCUGUUCCUUGGUGACUGCAUGAGGCUUCCCGACAGUGCAGAGCUGAGAGGGAAGCUCUCCACAUGCUGCUUUCGGAUGACAAAUGGAUUCUGCUGAUUCCUGGGGCAAAAUACUUCUUUCAAAAUGUCACUGUCUGUGAGUACUUUCUCCUUCAGUGCUCUGGCCACAGAGAGCAGAAUGAAGAAUUUUAUGGACAAGCAAAGUAGCAUUUCUCCCUUCCAGAUUAUGCAAAGCACACUUGUCUGCAGCUGACUCCCACAACCCAGUCUGAGUCCUUCUGCAUGUUCCAGUCUCACUUGGCUUCUGCAACUGCCCUUGAACUUGAGCCAUUUUCUGUCUUUGCAGGCUGUUGUUACUUAACCCU